rnacentral:lncRNA from 1 species
CCCACAUCGCGUGUCAUGAUCAGGGUACCCCUGCUCCUUGCAAACUUGGUUGCACGCCUGAAUGUCGCAUGGCUUCCCUUCUUGCGAGGGGAAACAAAGGCUAUCUGCACAGUAAUAGCAGCAACAACAAUAAUAAUAAGCAAUAAAAUGAUGAGAACAAAUACUUUCACAAGGCCAAAAAUUUGCCAAAGAGGACCCAAGUAAAAAAAAAGAAAGACACAAGUAAAACCUUUUUCGCCCUGCACGAGAUAGGGUGAUGAUAAGAGCACGGCCAUUGCUAGGAUGGCUAUCAGGAAUAUAGCGAUGUUAUUGUUAUUUUUGAGAAGCGCCAUGAGAUGAGCGAUGGUGUGUUUCUUGUCGGUACUGUGGCUUGUGUUU